rnacentral:rRNA from 1 species
UUGUUUGAACCGCAUGGUUCAAACAUAAAAGGUGGCUUCGGCUACCACUUACAGAUGGACCCGCGGCGCAUUAGCUAGUUGGUGAGGUAACGGCUCACCAAGGCAACGAUGCGUAGCCGACCUGAGAGGGUGAUCGGCCACACUGGGACUGAGACACGGCCCAGACUCCUACGGGAGGCAGCAGUAGGGAAUCUUCCGCAAUGGACGAAAGUCUGACGGAGCAACGCCGCGUGAGUGAUGAAGGUUUUCGGAUCGUAAAGCUCUGUUGUUAGGGAAGAACAAGUACCGUUCGAAUAGGGCGGUACCUUGACGGAACCUAACCAGAAAGCCACGGCUAACUACGUGCCAUCAGCCGCGGUAAUACGUAGGUGGCAAGCGUUGUCCGGAAUUAUUGGGCGUAAAGGGCUCGCAGGCGGUUUCUUAAGUCUGAUGUGAAAGCCCCCGGCUCAACCGGGGAGGGUCAUUGGAAACUGGGGAACUUGAGUGCAGAAGAGGAGAGUGGAAUUCCACGUGUAGCGGUGAAAUGCGUAGAGAUGUGGAGGAACACCAGUGGCGAAGGCGACUCUCUGGUCUGUAACUGACGCUGAGGAGCGAAAGCGUGGGGAGCGAACAGGAUUAGAUACUCCUGGUAGUCCACGUCGUAAACGAUGAGUGCUAAGUGUUAGGGGGUUUCC